CCCCUUUUUCCUUUACCUACCCAAAUCCUAUAAAGCGGCCCCACCCCAUCUCCCUUCGCUCUCUUUUCAGACUCAGCCUGCCUGCACCCAGGUGAAAUAAACAGCCUUGUUGCUCACACAAAGCCUGUUUGGUGGUCUCUUCACACGGACACGAGUGAAAUUUGGCGCCGUGACUCGAAUCGGGGGACCUCCCUUAGGAGAUCAAUCCCCUGUCCUCCUGCUCUUUGCUCCGUGAGAAAGAUCCACCUACGACCUCAGGUCCUCAGACCGACCAGCCCAAGAAACAUCUCACCAAUUUCAAAUCCAGACCCCACUAGAAAUCGGACUGUUCAACUCACCUGGCAGCCACUCCCAGAGCCCCUGGAUCUCUGGCCCAAGGCUCUCUGACUGACUCCUUCCCAGAUCUUCUCGGCUUAGCGGCGGAAGGCUGACGCUACCCGAUCACCUCAGAAGCCCUGUAGACCAUCACAGACGCCAAGCUUUAAGUAACUCUCACAGUGGAAGGGAAACCAAAUCAUGGUAUUCUGAAGACCAGAGAUGAUAAUCUCCCUCAUUUGGCUUCCCACUGGGUCCGAUCUGUUAUUCACUGCAAAUGCCCAGCUGCUAAGACUACACAAGCACACUCCCUGUAGGCCCAGGAACUAUUGCAGAAGAAAUGGGUGUAUGAGAUUUUAAGGGCUGGUUUUUGAGGGAUAUAAUUAAGUCAGGGUCACAACCUCCAAAUGAAGGUUGGGUACAAAGAUGCCUAAACAGCUGGUAAAACAAGGGCCUUUGCUUCUUGAGCUAUUAUGGGGCACCUUUGCAUCCACCCCAGCUAUUAAGAAUUUCCUUCUCCUGGGCCAGGCACGGUGGCUCAUGCCUGUAAUCCCAGCACUUUGGAAGGAUGAGGCAGGUGGAUCACGAGGUCAGGAGAUCGAGACCAUCCUGGCUAACACGGUGAAAUCCCGUCUCUACUAAACAUACAAAAAAUUAGCCGGCCGUGGUGGUGCACACCUGUAGUCCCAGCUACACUGGAGGCUGAGGCAGAAUUGCUUGAACCUGGGAGGUGGAGGUUGCAGUGAGCCGAGAUGGCACCACUGUACUCCAGCCUGGGCAACAGACUGAGACUCCAUAUUAAAAAAAAAAAAAAAAGAAUU